rnacentral:lncRNA from 1 species
GAGGAACUAUACAGUAGGGCACAGCAUUUAAGGAUGAUGAGAAAGAAGAGAAGCCACAUUAGAGGCAUACACAGAUGAUUUGAGAAGAUGAGGAAAAUGGGCUACAAGGAAUGAAGGGGAAAUUCAUGGAGUUGUGACAUUUUUUAUAAAAAGCAAAUCACUAAAAGCAAGGAGGCUCUAAGUUAAUGAAGUAGAGAGAAAUAGGAACCUGCCAAGAAGAACUGAAGAUGAAGAAAAGGGUU